GCCGGUGUGUUGGAAUUGGCAGACGAGGAGGACUCAAAAUCCUUUGGCAGCGAUGUCGUGCGGGUUCGAGUCCCGCCACCGGCACCA
rnacentral:tRNA from 1 species